rnacentral:rRNA from 1 species
UCCGCUUUGAGAUGGACCCGCGGCGCAUUAGCUAGUUGGUGAGGUAACGGCUCACCAAGGCGACGAUGCGUAGCCGACCUGAGAGGGUGAUCGGCCACAUUGGAACUGAGACACGGUCCAGACUCCUACGGGAGGCAGCAGUGGGGAAUAUUGCGCAAUGGGGGAAACCCUGACGCAGCAACGCCGCGUGAAUGAUGAAGGCCUUCGGGUUGUAAAGUUCUGUCUUCUGGGACGAUAAUGACGGUACCAGAGGAGGAAGCCACGGCUAACUACAUGCCAGCAGCCGCGGUAAUACGUAGGUGGCAAGCGUUGUCCGGAUUUACUGGGCGUAAAGGAUGCGUAGGCGGACAUUUAAGUCAGAUGUGAAAUACCCGAGCUUAACUUGGGUGCUGCAUUUGAAACUGGGUGUCUAGAGUGCAGGAGAGGUAAGUGGAAUUCCUAGUGCAGCGGUGAAAUGCGUAGAGAUUAGGAAGAACACCAGUGGCGAACGCGACUUACUGGACUGUAACUGACGCUGAUGCAUGAAAGCGUAGGGAGCAAACAGGAUUAGAUACCCUGGUAGUCCACGCCGUAAACGAUGAUACUAGUGUCGGGGGUCGAACCUCGGUGCCGCAGUUAACACAAUAGUAUUCGCCUGGGGGAGUACGAUCGCA